rnacentral:rRNA from 1 species
AAAAACAUCGCCUCCUGCAAAAUUCAACGUAUAGGAGGUCCUGCCUGCCCAGUGACAUCCAGUUAAACGGCCGCGGUAUUUUGACCGUGCUAAGGUAGCGCAAUCACUUGUCUUUUAAAUGAGGACCUGUAUGAAUGGCGGAACGAGGGCUUAACUGUCUCCUUUCUCCAGUCAAUGAAAUUGAUCUGCCCGUGCAGAAGCGGGCAUAACCAUACAAGACGAGAAGACCCUUUGGAGCUUAAGAUAAAAGACCAAUCUUCGGUUGGGGCGACCACGGGGGAAAAUGAAGCCCCCACGCAGAAUACUAAACCAAGAGGGACACCUCUAAGUCACAGAACAUCUGACCCCGAUCAACGGACCAAGUUACCCUAGGGAUAACAGCGCAAUCCCCUCCAAGAGUUCAUAUCGACAAGGGGGUUUACGACCUCGAUGUUGGAUCAGGACAUCCUAAUGGUGCAGCCGCUAUUAAGGGUUCGUUUGUUCAACGAUUAAAGUCCUACGUGAUCUGA